UCCCAUGUGGCUCAGCUGGUAAAGAAUCUGCCUGCAAUGCAGGAGGCCUGGGUUCUAUCCCAGGUUUGGGAA
rnacentral:tRNA from 1 species